AGUUCGUCUUGAUGCACACGUCGUGCAUAUAGGUUUUUAAAAUGACUUUACGCGAAAGAUUUCACGAGUGUUUUUAUAAAUUAUUCAAAUAAAAAAAAUAUUAAUUCAGUUUUUUUUAUUGGCUGUUAAGUAUAAUGAAAUAGUUUCGGAAAUUAAAAAUGUGAGAUCAAGUGGAAUAAAAGUAACAAGGCAUAUCAGAUUUUGAAAAGGUACGACCUCAUUACUAUUGAAGAAGAAAAUAAAUUAAUAUUGCUGUUAUUGGAAGUGCAUUUUUGGGUGUUUUUUAGCUCAUCAACAUACCAACUCUAUACAUGAGUAUAUAUACUCGACAAAAAAAAAAAAUUCAAAAACAUGAAUUGAAACGUUUACACUAUUCUUAUGCUAUAUAAUUGCACCGUUUCAUAUCUGUUGUAGUCUGAGUACUCUGAGUGUCAUACGACUGAUCGACCGAAUUUACGUUAAAAAAUACGUUUACUGCACGAAUAAGACGCAUAGAAUUAUAAUAACAGUAUGGGAAUGUAAAAUACAAGUAAAAAAAUCAAAACAACCAUAUAGGUACAAGCAAUUUGUUGGAUAUAUUAAAAUAAUAAAUAAUAAAAAGGUAAUAACAAUAAUAAUAUUAAUAUCAUUAUGCACGCCAUUGAAUGAAUCAACGCGACGUAAGUAUAUACUACAAUGUCAACAAUAUUUACAGAUAAAUUACAGAAGUAAAAAAAAUUUAAAAUAACCUUAUGGGUACGAGCCGGAUAAAAUAUGAAAAAAAAAAAUAAUACAAUUGCUCGCCUGAAAUAUCGUAUACUAUGCGAUGGUGCACCCCAUGCAGUGGAUAGUGAACUGUUUUCACCCCAUCCCGCAUCCGCAAUUGUUAUCCUUUUCAUUGUUGUUGUCUUGUGGCUGGUUGGCCACGCGGU